CCUACGGGUGGCAGCAGUGAGGAAUAUUGGUCAAUGGACGAGAGUCUGAACCAGCCAAGUAGCGUGAAGGAUGACUGCCCUAUGGGUUGUAAACUUCUUUUAUCUGGGAAUAAAACGUUCCACGUGUGGGAUUUUGUAUGUACCAUAUGAAUAAGUGUCGGCUAACUCCGUGCCAGCAGCCGCGGUAAUACGGAGGAUCCGAGCGUUAUCCGAAUUUAUUGGGUUUAAAGGGAGCGUAGGUGGAUUGUUAAGUCAGUUGUGAAAGUUUGCGGCUCAACCGUAAAAUUGCAGUUGAAACUGGCAGUCUUGAGUACAGUAGAGGUGGGCGGAAUGCGUGGUGUAGCGGUGAAAUGCUUAGAUAUCACGAAGAACUCCGAUUGCGAAGGCAGUUCACUGGACUGCAACUGACACUGAGGCUCGAAAGUGUGGGUAUCAAACAGGAUUAGAUACCCCUGUAGUC
rnacentral:rRNA from 1 species